rnacentral:tRNA from 1 species
GCCCCGAUGGUGUAAGGCGUAGCAUCACUGCGCGAAAAGCAGAAGGCGCGGGUUCCAGUCCCGCCUGGAGUA